rnacentral:rRNA from 1 species
AGUCGAGCGAUGGAUUAAGAGCUUGCUCUUAUGAAGUUAGCGGCGGACGGGUGAGUAACACGUGGGUAACCUGCCCAUAAGACUGGGAUAACUCCGGGAAACCGGGGCUAAUACCGGAUAACAUUUUGAACCGCAUGGUUCGAAAUUGAAAGGCGGCUUCGGCUGUCACUUAUGGAUGGACCCGCGUCGCAUUAGCUAGUUGGUGAGGUAACGGCUCACCAAGGCAACGAUGCGUAGCCGACCUGAGAGGGUGAUCGGCCACACUGGGACUGAGACACGGCCCAGACUCCUACGGGAGGCAGCAGUAGGGAAUCUUCCGCAAUGGACGAAAGUCUGACGGAGCAACGCCGCGUGAGUGAUGAAGGCUUUCGGGUCGUAAAACUCUGUUGUUAGGGAAGAACAAGUGCUAGUUGAAUAAGCUGGCACCUUGACGGUACCUAACCAGAAAGCCACGGCUAACUACGUGCCAGCAGCCGCGGUAAUACGUAGGUGGCAAGCGUUAUCCGGAAUUAUUGGGCGUAAAGCGCGCGCAGGUGGUUUCUUAAGUCUGAUGUGAAAGCCCACGGCUCAACCGUGGAGGGUCAUUGGAAACUGGGAGACUUGAGUGCAGAAG